CCGGGGUGGAGUAAUGUCUGGGAAACGUGCCUGAUGAGGGGGAGUAACUACUGGAAACGGUAGCUAAUACCGCAUAAUGUCGCAAGACCAAAGUGGGGGACCUUCGGGCCUCUUGCCAUCGGAUGUGCCCAGAUGGGAUUAGCUAGUAGGUGGGGUAACGGCUCACCUAGGCGACGAUCCCUAGCUGGUCUGAGAGGAUGACCAGCCACACUGGAACUGAGACACGGUCCAG
rnacentral:rRNA from 1 species